UAUUUAGUUAGUUAUUCAGCCAGCCAAUCAGUCAGUCAGCUAUUUAGUUAGUUAUUCAGUCAGUUAUUUAGUUAGUCUCAUGUCUUAUGUCAGUAUACAGAUUCAUUAAGGUGACUUCAAAUCAAGUUUUAUUUGUCAAAUGCUUGGUAAACAACAGGUGUGGACUAACAGUGAAGUGCUUACUGACGGGCCCUUCACAACCAUGCAGAGAGAAACAUAAUAACAAUGAGGAACAAUAACUAGGUACAUACACAGGGUACCAGUACUGAGUCCAUGUGCAGGGAGAGGUAAGAGGUAAUUAAUAACUAGGCUACAUACACAGGGUACCAGUACUGAGCCCAUGUGCAGGGAGAGGUAAGAGGUAAUUAAUAACUAGGUACAUACACAGGGUACCAGUACUGAGUCCAUGUGCAGGGAGAGGUAAGAGGUACUUAAUAACUAGGUACAUACACAGGGUACCAGUACUGAGUCCAUGUGCAGGGAGAGGUAAGAGGUAAUUAAUAACUAGGUACAUACACAGGGUACCAGUACUGAGUCCAUGUGCAGGGAGAGGUAAGAGGUAAUUGAUAACUAG
rnacentral:lncRNA from 1 species